rfam:Triticum aestivum genome assembly, contig: Triticum_aestivum_CS42_TGACv1_scaffold_404971_5BL
AAAGUACUCCCUCCGUCCCAAAAUUCUUGUCUUAGAUUUGUCUACAUACGAAUGUAUCUAAUAGUAAAACAUAACUAGAUACAUCCGUAUUUAAACAAAUCUAAGACAAGAAUUUUGGGACGGAGGGAGUAUACU